UACGUAGGGGGCAAGCGUUGUCCGGAUUUAUUGGGCGUAAAGAGCGUGUAGGCGGCCAGGUAGGUCCGUUGUGAAAACUCGAGGCUCAACCUCGAGACGUCGGCGGAAACCCUCUGGCUAGAGUCCGGAAGAGGAGAGUGGAAUUCCUGGUGUAGCGGUGAAAUGCGUAGAUAUCUGGAGGAACACCGGUGGCGAAGGCGGCAUCCUGGACCGACACUGACGCUGAGGAGCGAAAGCCAGGGGAGCAAACGGG
rnacentral:rRNA from 1 species